rnacentral:rRNA from 1 species
CACGUAGGGUGCGAGCGUUGUCCGGAAUCACUGGGCGUAAAGCGUCUGUAGGUGGUUUAAUAAGUCAACUGUUAAAUCUUGAGGCUCAACCUCAAAAAUCGCAGUCGAAACUAUUAGGCUAGAGUAUAGUAGGGGUAAAGGGAAUUUCCAGUGGAGCGGUGAAAUGCGUAGAGAUUGGAAAGAACACCGAUGGCGAAGGCACUUUACUGGGCUAUUACUAACACUCAGAGACGAAAGCUAGGGUAGCAAAUGGG